GGCUCAGGAUGAACGCGGCNGGCGUGCUUAAUACAUGCAAGUCGAACGGAGAGUGACUGAGUUCGCUUGGACACUUUUAGUGGCGAACGGGUGAGUAACACGUUGGUGACCUGCCCCGAAGAGGGGGAUAACAGUUCGAAAGGACUGCUAAUACCCCAUGAAGUUGCGUUGAUUAGAAAGAUGCAACGAAAGGGAGAAAUCCCGCUACGGGAGGGGCCUGCGUCCCAUCAGCUAGUUGGUAGGGUAAAGGCCUACCAAGGCGACGACGGGUAGGGGGCCUGAGAGGGUGACCCCCCACAUUGGCACUGAAACACGGGCCAAACACCUACGGGUGGCAGCAGUAGGGAAUAUUGCACAAUGGGCGAAAGCCUGAUGCAGCAACGUCGCGUGCGCGAUGAAGGCCUUCGGGUCGUAAAGCGCUUUUCGGGGAGAGGAGGAAGGACCGUAUCCCCGGAAUAAGUCUCGGCUAACUACGUGCCAGCAGCCGCGGUAAAACGUAGGAGGCAAGCGUUAUCCGAAUUCACUGGGCGUAAAGCGCGUGCAGGCGGCAAGGUAAGUUGGAUGUAAAAUCUCCCGGCUCAACUGGGAGGGGACGUUCAAAACUACCUGGCUAGAGGACGGUAGAGGAAGGUGGAAUUCCCGGUGUAGUGGUGAAAUGCGUAGAUAUCGGGAGGAACACCCGUGGCGAAAGCGGCCUUCUGGACCGUACCUGACGCUCAGACGCGAAAGCUAGGGGAGCAAACGGGAUUAGAAACCCCGGUAGUCCUAGCUGUAAACGAUGUAGACUGGGUGUGGGAAGGGUAAAAGCUUUCCGUGCCGAAGCUAACGCGAUAAGUCUACCGCCUGGGGACUACGGCCCGCAGGUUAAAACUCAAAU
rnacentral:rRNA from 1 species